AUGGUGUUGAGGAAUGCGGCCUCCAUCUCUGAGGACGCAGUUCUCCUGAGCAAGAACAUGGCAUACUCCAUCAUUGAUGCGUCACAGGGCAGCCUGAUUCUGCCACCAUCAACGCCUGUGAAGCCGAACUCCUCUUGGGACAUCCUCAAGAGCUCGUCGAAGACGGUCGUGCCAAGGAAUGCAAGCGGCACCUCGAACCUCGCACCGUCGGUAGUGUACACGACGAAGUGA
rnacentral:rRNA from 1 species